GGUGAGUUGGCCGAGUGGUUAUGGCGUUGGUCUUAAGAGUUGGUUUUGCCUAUAUCUCUUCUCACCAUUGUCGCGAGACGUCGUGGGUUCAAACCCCACACUCACCA